rnacentral:lncRNA from 1 species
CACUUCUUUUGCACUUAAGGGCUCGGCUUAAAUGUUACCUCACUUCCCACUACCCCAUCUAAAUAGGCUGUCCGUUUAUUUGGUAACUCAGUGCCUAGUUUAUUAUCCUCAGUAAUCAUCACAACUUAUAAUUAUUUUAUUUGCCUCCUUACUUAUUUUUGUUGUUGCUUUUAUUUUUGGUUUGUCUUCCCUGUUAAAAUGUAUGCUCCAGCAAAACAGGGCCUGGUCCCGUCUUUUUCACCAUUGUAGCCCUAGUGCCCAGCCAAGUACCUGGUAUGUUAUGGGUGCUCAAUGAACAUUUAUUGACUAAAUGAGCAAAUAAGUCAAUUUGGUAAUUAAUCAUAAACUGGCCUGUUUCAUAUCAUCCUGGAAAUCUGAAUCCAAUCUUUAAUGUUGCUUUUGAGCUGUUGUUGGGAUGUUCAGGGGGACACCCCUGGUGGUAUCUAGGUAGUGGCGGUCGCCUGUGGUCCCAGCUACUCAGGAGGCUGAGGCAGCAGAAUGGCGUGAACCCAGGAGGCGGAGCUUGCAGUGAGCCGAGAUCACGCCAUUGGACUCCAGCCUGGGCGACGGAGCAAAAAAAAAAAAAAAAAAAAAAAAGAAUUCAAACCUGACCACCUGCCUUCCAGCCAGGAAAGGGACUGUAAAUAUUAGGAUAUGAAAGAAAGGCAAAGAGCUGUUGUGGCUACAACUCACAGAAAUGAGGUGGAGACUGUCUUCUCUACCCUCCAGACUAAUCCACCAAUACUAGACUUCAACACUAAGGAGUCACAGUCCGUAUCAUUCACUUUUCCAAGUGUUUCUCCUUCAGUUACCUAUCACUGAUGGCCUUAAGCCUAGACAUCUCCUCAGGUGAUUUCAACUUGGCCUUUAUGUUGACUUUAUGCCUAUCUUUUCCUUCACUCUCCUGGUUACUUGUUACCCUGAUUUGCGUCAUGUUUCCUUGGUUUUCUUUACUCUUCUGACUUCUGCUGCCAACUCACACAGUCACCAUAGGAUACACCUAUCAUUUCAAUAUUCAAAGGCACUGCUUCACCUCUGGUUUUUCCUCUAUAGCACUCUCCUUCAAUAUCCAUGCCUGACCCUUCUCACUUACACACAAUCCGAUCCAGUUUUACACCAAUGCUAAGGUUUUUAGUCUCUUACCACCUAUGUUUUGUUUAGAUCAUUCUUACUUCAUAGGCUGUGUCACUAGUUUGAACUAUUGAGUCAGCACCAUUCUAUGGUUUCUGUAACAUUGCUUGCAUCUUAAAAAUGGCAUUCUCCAGAGAAUUUUUUUUAAGAGGUAGGAUUUCCUUCUUUAAAUGCACAAAAUAGCUGGGCAUGGUGGCUCACGCCUGUAAUCCCAGCACUUUGGGAGGCCGAGGCAGGCAGAUCACGAGGUCAGAUCGAGACCAUCCUGGCCAACAUGGUGAAACCCUGUCUCUACUAAAAAUACAAAAAUUAGCUGGGCAUGGCAGCGCAU